rnacentral:rRNA from 1 species
UGGAGAGUUUGAUCCUGGNUCAGGACGAACGNUGGCGGCGUGCUUAACACAUGCAAGUCGAACGGAAAGGCCCUUCGGGGUACUCGAGUGGCGAACGGGUGAGUAACACGUGGGUGAUCUGCCCUGCACUUUGGGAUAAGCCUGGGAAACUGGGUCUAAUACCGAAUAUACCUCUUCAGCUGCAUGGUUGUUGGGGGAAAGCUUUUGCGGUGUGGGAUGGGCCCGCGGCCUAUCAGCUUGUUGGUGGGGUGAUGGCCUACCAAGGCGACGACGGGUAGCCGGCCUGAGAGGGUGUCCGGCCACACUGGGACUGAGAUACGGCCCAGACUCCUACGGGAGGCAGCAGUGGGGAAUAUUGCACAAUGGGCGCAAGCCUGAUGCAGCGACGCCGCGUGGGGGAUGACGGCCUUCGGGUUGUAAACCUCUUUCAGCACAGACGAAGCGCAAGUGACGGUAUGUGCAGAAGAAGCACCAGCCAACUACGUGCCAGCAGCCGCG